rnacentral:misc_RNA from 1 species
AACUCUUAGCAAUGGAUAUCUUGGUUCUCGUAACGAUGAAGAACGCAGCGAAAUGCGAUACGUAAUGCGAAUUGCAGAAUUCAGUGAAUCAUCAAAUCUUUGAACGCAAAUGGCGCUUCUGGGAUAGGCCUAGGAGCAUGCCUCUCUGAGUAUCGGUUCUAUCUAUCAACGACAGCGUGCUGGAAACAGACAUGACUGGCGGUUGGAAAAUGAGCGUCUGAUUGCGCAAGCAGAUCAGUCACUUGAAAUAGAUAGAAGCUUGAAUCGCACUAGAGGAAUGUUCUUUCUCGCAAGAGGAAGAGACGGGCUGAUAUGGCUCCAUUCUAUAUGCUAGUGACGUGGAUAGAAGUACCCUUGUGGUCUUUCAAAACGUCUGCUAGUUGAGUGGUGGCUGUUUCGGUGUUGUGUAAGCUCUGGUUCAAGUAGGUUCAACUCAGCUUCUUUUUCGAAUUCCCUUUGUCCUCGGACAUCGGCUGUUUGAAUUAGAUCUCAGAUGAAGCAAGAGGACCCCCUGAAUUUAAGCAUAUUAUUAAGGGGAGGAAAAGAAACUAACAAGGAUUCCCCUAGUAACGGCGAGUGAAGCGGGAUGAAGCUCAAUCUGGGAAUCGAGAGUGGAAGCCCACGCCUCGAGUUGUAUCCUAGAGACGUAUUGUCAGCGUGUGACCUCGGUACAAAUCUUUUGAAACAAGGUAUCAUAGAGGGUGAGAAUCCCGUCCAUGACCGAGAGUUCGCCGCGUACGACGUAUGUUUUCCGAGUCGAGUUGUUUGGGAUUGCAGCUCUAAACGGGUGGUAAAUUUCAUCUAAAGCUAAAUAUCGACGAGAGACCGAUAGCGAACAAGUACCGUGAGGGAAAGAUGAAAAGAACUUUGAAAAGAGAGUUAAAAAGUACUUGAAAUUGUUAAGAGGGAAGCGCUAGCAAGCAGUCAUGACACCAGGCUAUGCUUAGUAGUGGACACCGAAAUCAACUGCGGACCAGAUCGAAAGACUGUGUCGGGAAGAGGACGAGUGGCUGCUGCGUCAUGUAGUCUGGUGUGGGUCAGAGUCAAUUCGGCUCGCGGGUGAGGGCCAGCGGAAAGGUAGGGUCUCCGGACCUGUUAUAGUCCGUUGGUUGUACCGUGGUCUGGAUUGAGGAUUGAUAAUGGACGCCGCAAGGUUUCGGCGCUGCUUUCCUGUUGGGUCGGUUGGCUUAGAGGACAACGUCCUGUGGGCUGGCUUGGCUUGGCACUGGGGGUAGCUGCCAGAUGUCCAUUCGCGAUUCUGACGAAAUGCUUGCUAUCGACCCGUCUUGAAACACGGACCAAGGAGUCUAACAUAUAUGCGAGUAUUUGGGUGCCAAACUCGGAUGCGCAAUGAAAGUAAAGGCAGCUUCGGCUGCUGAGGUAGGAAGGGGUCACUCCCGGCACUAUCGACCGAUCGUCACUUGUGAUUGAUUUGAGUAGGAGCAUAUCUGUUGGGACCCGAAAGAUGGUGAUCUAUGCCUGAACAGGGUGAAGCCAGGGGAAACUCUGGUGGAGGCUCGUAGCGAUACUGACGUGCAAAUCGUUCGUCUGAUUUGGGUAUAGGGGCGAAAGACUAAUCGAACCAUCUAGUAGCUGGUUCCCUC